AUUAGCUAGUUGGUAGGGUAACGGCUUACCAAGGCUAGUAUGUCUAGGGGCUCUGAGAGGAGAAUCCCCCACACUGGUACUGAGACACGGACCAGACUCCUACGGGAGGCAGCAGUAAGGAAUAUUGGUCAAUGGGCGGAAGCCUGAACCAGCCAUCGGCCGCGUGCAGGAUGACUGCCCUAUGGGUUGUUAACGGCUAACUCCGUGCCAGCAGCCGCGGUAAUACGGAGGAUCCGAGUUAUCCGGAUUUAUUGGGUUUAAAGGGUGCGUAGGCGGCCUUAUAAGUCAGGGGUGAAAUACGGCAGCUCAACUGUCGCAGCGCCUUUGAUACUGUAGGGCUUGAAUCUAUUUGAAGUGGUCGGAAUAAGACAAGUAGCGGUGAAAUGCAUAGAUAUGUCUUAGAACUCCGAUUGCGAAGGCAGCUCACUAAGUUAGUAUUGACGCUGAUGCACGAAUGCGUGGGGAUCGAACAGGAUUAGAUACCCUGGUAGUCCACGCCCUAAACGA
rnacentral:rRNA from 1 species